GAUGAACGCUGGCGGCGUGCCUAAUACAUGCAAGUCGAGCGAACGGACGAGAAGCUUGCUUCUCUGAUGUUAGCGGCGGACGGGUGAGUAACACGUGGAUAACCUACCUAUAAGACUGGGAUAACUUCGGGAAACCGGAGCUAAUACCGGAUAAUAUUUUGAACCGCAUGGUUCAAAAGUGAAAGACGGUCUUGCUGUCACUUAUAGAUGGAUCCGCGCUGCAUUAGCUAGUUGGUAAGGUAACGGCUUACCAAGGCAACGAUGCAUAGCCGACCUGAGAGGGUGAUCGGCCACACUGGAACUGGAACACGGUCCAGACUCCUACGGGAGGCACCAGUAGGGAAUCUUCCGCAAUGGGCGAAAGCCUGACGGAGCAACGCCGCGUGAGUGAUGAAGGUCUUCGGAUCGUAAAACUCUGUUAUUAGGGAAGAACAUAUGUGUAAGUAACUGUGCACAUCUUGACGGUACCUAAUCAGAAAGCCACGGCUAACUACGUG
rnacentral:rRNA from 1 species